rnacentral:lncRNA from 10 species
AGAUGGGAGAGAGUUUCCUGUGGGCAAACUUUAGGUUGUAAAUUGACUCUUGUCUCUAGAGACAAUCUUCUGGUGGGAGAGAUUUCCAGCUCUGGGGCUUCUAGAUGCCCUGGAAUACACUUGUGUCAGUGACAAAUGCUGCUUUGCUGUGCUACACCGAGUACAAGGUCGUGAGAAAUACAUGGGCUAUCUUCAGCACAGAACACAAACUCUGCCUUCUUUUCUCAAGUCCAGUGAUUCAAGUUUGACACACCACACCACGGUGGAUGUGCCUUUCAUGACGCAUCUUCUCAGCAGCACUAGAAGAUACAUCCAAAGUCCUGUGAGCAAGGUCUGUGGUAUCUGUUUAUUAUGGCAGCCCAGUGAGACUAAGACAGGCCAUCAAAAGACGUGAACGUUUUGGACCUUCUCUUGGGCCCUAGUAAACAGAAAUCAGGCUACUUAUUAAACUAAACCACGUUCUGAACUGUUACUGCUACUGGAAACCAGUCCCGAUCCAGACCCCAAAAGAGGAUUCUUGGAUCUUGCACAAGAAAGAAAGGAGAGGGACCUGUAGUCAUUACCUUCAAGGAACCUAAAUCCUGGUGUCUUUAUGGUUAUGGGUGGCAUAUAAUAUACAGACACAGUGAAGGAGUGAGAUGUGAAGGUGCUCUGUCAUUGCCUCAGUCAAGACUUUCAUGGUACAUUGGAAGAAAGAGAAGCGUGAACAAAUUGCAUGAUACUUGAGGUCAUGCUGUGUACCUGUAUUGAACAAGAAUAAGGGAAGAAAGCUGGGAACCUGGAUCUCCCAUAUAUUGGAAGUUUUGUAAAAACCUUGAGGGUCCCUUCCACUACAUAUGGGGAUUAUGGGAACUGCAAUUCAAGAUGAGAUUUGAGUGAGGACACAGCCAAACCACAUGGUUUUAGAACAUUGACGAAGAGAGAAGACAACCCACUUUGCCAUAUAUGCCCAUGGUCUUACCAAGGCUAGAGUACAGUGGCACAGUCAUAGCUCACUGCAGCCUUAAACUCCCAGACUCAGGCAAUGGAUCCGAUCCUCCCACCUCAGCCAGCCUCCCAAGUAGCUGAGACUACAGGAGUGGCUGCAUAUGUGUCCCGUUUGUGCGUAUCUGCAUAUAAGAGAAGUUGAGAAAGGGCACAAGAAUGAGGUGACUGCGUGGACAUAGAGCGUAUUAUGAAAGACAAACUCUCCCACAUCCCUCCCAGCAGCGGCUCCAGAAUUUCUUCUUCUCCCCUGAAAACUAACAAGAGAGACUGCCACCAGAUUACUCUUAUCUCAGCACCCAGCUUUGCUUAUUGUUUAUCAGUCACUGAGAAUGUGUGAGGCUCUGAGCUAAUAACUUUUAGAUACAUCUUCUUAUUUAGCCUUUAGAGAAAUGCUGUGAGAUAAGUACUGUGUUAUUGGCCCCAUUUUAAAAUUAAUGGGAUAGAAACCCUGCAGGGCAACUCACCCUGGGUCAGCAGCUGGCAUAGAGCUGAGCCCGGGUCUGAGCUGAACUCAGUUUGCCCACAGACCCUCCGCACCACCGCACUAUUAGGUCCCCUUUAUCUGGCCCACUAUUUCAUGGUCACGUGCAUCAUUUCUGUGCUUUGCCACAUUGUUUUAAUUUCUUUAACUCACAGUAUUAUUUCUGUGAGAUAUUUCAGAGGCAAGAAUUCCUCCAUAGUAGGAAUUGUGUCUACUUAGUAGGCUGUGUCUACUUAGCUCGCAUUUCUCAGUGUUUGUCAGUUUCUCUGCAGUGACAGGUCCCCUAAAAUGGGUUACAUCACAAAAAUGAUUUCGGAGCCACAAUUUAAAAAUAAAAAUGAAA